GGGUUGUGAGGUUAAGCGACUAAGCGUACACGGUGGAUGCCCUGGCAGUCAGAGGCGAUGAAGGACGUGCUAAUCUGCGAUAAGCGUCGGUAAGGUGAUAUGAACCGUUAUAACCGGCGAUUUCCGAAUGGGGAAACCCAGUGUGAUUCGUCACACUAUCAUUAACUGAAUCCAUAGGUUAAUGAGGCGAACCGGGGGAACUGAAACAUCUAAGUACCCCGAGGAAAAGAAAUCAACCGAGAUUCCCCCAGUAGCGGCGAGCGAACGGGGAGCAGCCCAGAGCCUGAAUCAGUGUGUGUGUUAGUGGAAGCGUCUGGAAAGGCGCGCGAUACAGGGUGACAGCCCCGUACACAAAAAUGCACAUAUUGUGAGCUCGAUGAGUAGGGCGGGACACGUGGUAUCCUGUCUGAAUAUGGGGGGCCCAUCCUCCAAGGCUAAAUACUCCUGACUGACCGAUAGUGAACCAGUACCGUGAGGGAAAGGCGAAAAGAACCCCGGCGAGGGGGAGUGAAAAAGAACCUGAAACCGUGUACGUACAAGCAGUGGGAGCACGCUUAGGCGUGUGACUGCGUACCUUUUGUAUAAUGGGUCAGCGACUUAUAUUCUGUAGCAAGGUUAACCGAAUAGGGGAGCCGAAGGGAAACCGAGUCUUAACUGGGCGUUAAGUUGCAGGGUAUAGACCCGAAACCCGGUGAUCUAGCCAUGGGCAGGUUGAAGGUUGGGUAACACUAACUGGAGGACCGAACCGACUAAUGUUGAAAAAUUAGCGGAUGACUUGUGGCUGGGGGUGAAAGGCCAAUCAAACCGGGAGAUAGCUGGUUCUCCCCGAAAGCUAUUUAGGUAGCGCCUCGUGAAUUCAUCUCCGGGGGUAGAGCACUGUUUCGGCAAGGGGGUCAUCCCGACUUACCAACCCGAUGCAAACUGCGAAUACCGGAGAAUGUUAUCACGGGAGACACACGGCGGGUGCUAACGUCCGUCGUGAAGAGGGAAACAACCCAGACCGCCAGCUAAGGUCCCAAAGUCAUGGUUAAGUGGGAAACGAUGUGGGAAGGCCCAGACAGCCAGGAUGUUGGCUUAGAAGCAGCCAUCAUUUAAAGAAAGCGUAAUAGCUCACUGGUCGAGUCGGCCUGCGCGGAAGAUGUAACGGGGCUAAACCAUGCACCGAAGCUGCGGCAGCGACGCUUAUGCGUUGUUGGGUAGGGGAGCGUUCUGUAAGCCUGCGAAGGUGUGCUGUGAGGCAUGCUGGAGGUAUCAGAAGUGCGAAUGCUGACAUAAGUAACGAUAAAGCGGGUGAAAAGCCCGCUCGCCGGAAGACCAAGGGUUCCUGUCCAACGUUAAUCGGGGCAGGGUGAGUCGACCCCUAAGGCGAGGCCGAAAGGCGUAGUCGAUGGGAAACAGGUUAAUAUUCCUGUACUUGGUGUUACUGUGAAGGGGGGACGGAGAAGGCUAUGUUGGCCGGGCGACGGUUGUCCCGGUUUAAGCGUGUAGGCUGGUUUUCCAGGCAAAUCCGGAAAAUCAAGGCUGAGGCGUGAUGACGAGGCACUACGGUGCUGAAGCAACAAAUGCCCUGCUUCCAGGAAAAGCCUCUAAGCAUCAGGUAACAUCAAAUCGUACCCCAAACCGACACAGGUGGUCAGGUAGAGAAUACCAAGGCGCUUGAGAGAACUCGGGUGAAGGAACUAGGCAAAAUGGUGCCGUAACUUCGGGAGAAGGCACGCUGAUAUGUAGGUGAAGUCCCUUGCGGAUGGAGCUGAAAUCAGUCGAAGAUACCAGCUGGCUGCAACUGUUUAUUAAAAACACAGCACUGUGCAAACACGAAAGUGGACGUAUACGGUGUGACGCCUGCCCGGUGCCGGAAGGUUAAUUGAUGGGGUCAGCGCAAGCGAAGCUCUUGAUCGAAGCCCCGGUAAACGGCGGCCGUAACUAUAACGGUCCUAAGGUAGCGAAAUUCCUUGUCGGGUAAGUUCCGACCUGCACGAAUGGCGUAAUGAUGGCCAGGCUGUCUCCACCCGAGACUCAGUGAAAUUGAACUCGCUGUGAAGAUGCAGUGUACCCGCGGCAAGACGGAAAGACCCCGUGAACCUUUACUAUAGCUUGACACUGAACAUUGAGCCUUGAUGUGUAGGAUAGGUGGGAGGCUUUGAAGUGUGGACGCCAGUCUGCAUGGAGCCGGCCUUGAAAUACCACCCUUUAAUGUUUGAUGUUCUAACGUGGACCCGUGAUCCGGGUUGCGGACAGUGUCUGGUGGGUAGUUUGACUGGGGCGGUCUCCUCCUAAAGAGUAACGGAGGAGCACGAAGGUUGGCUAAUCCUGGUCGGACAUCAGGAGGUUAGUGCAAUGGCAUAAGCCAGCUUGACUGCGAGCGUGACGGCGCGAGCAGGUGCGAAAGCAGGUCAUAGUGAUCCGGUGGUUCUGAAUGGAAGGGCCAUCGCUCAACGGAUAAAAGGUACUCCGGGGAUAACAGGCUGAUACCGCCCAAGAGUUCAUAUCGACGGCGGUGUUUGGCACCUCGAUGUCGGCUCAUCACAUCCUGGGGCUGAAGUAGGUCCCAAGGGUAUGGCUGUUCGCCAUUUAAAGUGGUACGCGAGCUGGGUUUAGAACGUCGUGAGACAGUUCGGUCCCUAUCUGCCGUGGGCGCUGGAGAACUGAGGGGGGCUGCUCCUAGUACGAGAGGACCGGAGUGGACGCAUCACUGGUGUUCGGGUUGUCAUGCCAAUGGCACUGCCCGGUAGCUAAAUGCGGAAGAGAUAAGUGCUGAAAGCAUCUAAGCACGAAACUUGCCCCGAGAUGAGUUCUCCCUGACCCUUUAAGGGUCCUGAAGGAACGUUGAAGACGACGACGUUGAUAGGCCGGGUGUGUAAGCGCAGCGAUGCGUUGAGCUAACCGGUACUAAUGAACCGUGAGGCUUAACCUUACAACGCCGAAG
rnacentral:rRNA from 1 species